CGGACGAAACAGGGGUGUCCUGGCGAGCAGAUCGCGCAGGGCUGAGAAAUACCCUGGGGCCCAUGCGCCCCGUUACCCGAUCCAGAUCAUGCUGGCGUGGGGAGUUUUCGCGGCGCACCG
rnacentral:ncRNA from 1 species